UUAUAAUAAGCUUCCGCGUAAAUCCUUUUUAUAGAAGAAACUAAGAAUUAAGUCCCAGAAAAUGAGGAAAAAAGAUUUCAUUUGUUUUCUCCAGGCCUUCCCAUCUCUAUGUAGAACACUUACUCCAACCAGCCAGAAUCCGACUGUCAACCAUUGGCCAGAGGACCUUUUCAUCAGAGUAGCUCCGACAGCUAGAUGAGCUGUCAGAAUUUUAAACACAAUUGAAGACCCAUCUCUUCCAGCAGGCCUACCCAGUCAACUUUCAAUCAUGACUUUUGAUUUACAUUCUAUUGCUACUAUAUGUCAAGUCUGUAUCUGUGUUUGGUGCAAGUUUUU
rnacentral:lncRNA from 11 species